rnacentral:rRNA from 1 species
AAAUUGAAGAGUUUGAUCAUGGCUCAGAUUGAACGCUGGCGGCAGGCCUAACACAUGCAAGUCGAACGGUAACAGGAAGAAGCUUGCUUCUUUGCUGACGAGUGGCGGACGUGUGAGUAAUGUCUGGGAAACUGCCUGAUGGAGGGGGAUAACUACUGGAAACGGUAGCUAAUACCGCAUAACGUCGCAAGACCAAAGAGGGGGACCUUCGGGCCUCUUGCCAUCGGAUGUGCCCAGAUGGGAUUAGCUAGUAGGUGGGGUAACGGCUCACC